UUGUAAUUUGGAGAAGGUGCUUCGGAAGAAAUGACGGUUUAAGUUCUUUGGAACAAGGCGCUUUAAAGGGUGAAAGCCCCGUACCGGCCGAUCACUGAAUCCAUGUGAAGCCCUUUCGACGAGUCGAGUUGUUUGGGAAUGCAGCUCUAAAUGGGUGGUAAAUUUCAUCUAAAGCUAAAUACCUGCCAGAGACCGAUAGCGCACAAGUAGAGUGAUCGAAAGAUGAAAAGCACUUUGAAAAGAGAGUCAAAAAGUACGUGAAAUCGUUGAAGGGGAAGCGUUCGCAAUCAGACUCGUUUGCAGAAGCUCAGCCUUCUUACGAGACGGGGUAUUCUUCUGUCAACGGGCCAGCAUCAGUUUUGGCGGUUGGAUAAAGACUUUGGGAACGUAGCUCUUCUCGGAGAGUGUUAUAGCCCGGAGUGUAAUGCAGCCAGCUGAGACUGAGGUCCGCGCUUUUGCUAGGAUGCUGGCGUAAUGGUUGCUAGCGACCCGUCUUGAAACACGGACCGGUAAGUCUUAUGAGUUGCAUAUUCGCAGAUUGUGAGUGCUAAUAAAUUUUUAGAGGAGUCGACCAAUGACGCGAGUGUUUGGGUGUAAAACCCAUGCGCGUAAUCAACGUGAACGUAGGUAGGAGCCUUCGGGCGCACUAUCGACCGAUCUUGAUGUCUUYGGAUGGAUUUGAGUAUGAGCAUUGUUGGUCGGACCCGAAAGAUGGUGAACUAUACGUGAAUAGGGUGAAGUCAGAGGAAACUCUGAUGGAGGCUCGCAGCGGUUCUGACGUGCAAAUCGAUCGUCAAAUUUGCGUAUAGGGGCGAAAGACUAAUCGAACCGUCUAGUAGCUGGUUCCUGUCGAAGUUUCCCUCAGGAUAGCAGCAACGAAUAUAGCAGUCUCAUGAGGAAGAGCAACGAUUAGAGGCCUUGGGGGCGAAACGCCCUUAACCGAUUCUCGAACUCCGAAUAUGUGAGAAGUCCUUGUUACUUAAUUGAA
rnacentral:rRNA from 1 species